CUCGGCGCUGCAGCGACCAUGGGCCGCGAGUUUGGGCAUCUGAUGCGGGUGCGGCCUGUGAUCACCUACAGCUUGUCGCCCUUGGAGCAGCGCGCCUUCCCGCACUGCUUCAGCAAGGGCAUGCCCAACAUGCUGCACCGCACUCAGGCGUGCAUCCUUCGCGUCGUGCCGCCACUUGUAGUGUUUUAUUUUGUCUACACGUGGGGAACACAGGAGUUUGAGAAAUCCAAGAGGAAGAAUCCAGCUGCCUAUGAAAAUGACAAAUGAACAUCUCAUCUGGAUAAUGGUCCCUUGUCUCUGAAAGACUCUUCUCUGGGAGAGGAGUCUACAUUGUAGUGUCUCGAAGACACAAUAA